rnacentral:rRNA from 1 species
AGAGUUUGAUCCUGGCUCAGAAUCAACGUUGGCGGCGCGCUUAACACAUGCAAGUCGAACGAGAAAGUGGAGCAAUCCAUGAGUAAAGUGGCGUACGGGUGAGUAACACGUGGGUAUCCAUUCUUUGGUGGGGAAUAACUUUGGGAAACCGAAGCUAAUACCGCAUAAGUCCGAGAGGAGAAAGGUGAAAAUCGCCGAAGAGGGAGCCCGCGGCUGAUUAGCUAGUUGGUGAGGUAACGGCCCACCAAGGCGAAGAUCGGUAGCCGGCCUGAGAGGGCACACGGCCACACUGGCACUGAGACACGGGCCAGACUCCUACGGGAGGCAGCAGUGGGGAAUCUUGCACAAUGGGGGAAACCCUGAUGCAGCGACGCCGCGUGAACGAUGAAGCCCUUCGGGGUGUAAAGUUCUUUCGGCAGGAACGAUAAUGACGGUACCUGAAGAAGAAGCUGCGGCUAACUACGUGCCAGCAGCCGCGGUAAUACGUAGGCAGCAAACGUUGUUCGGAGUUACUGGGCGUAAAGAGUACGUAGGCGGUUUGCCAAGUUUGGUGUGAAAUCUCCUGGCUUAACUGGGAGGGUGCGCCGAAUACUGGCGGGCUUGAGUAUUGGAGAGGAAAGCGGAAUUCCUGGUGUAGCGGUGAAAUGCGUAGAUAUCAGGAGGAACACCGGUGGUGUAGACGGCUUUCUGGACAAUCACUGACGCUGAGGUACGAAAGCGUGGGUAGCAAACAGGAUUAGAUACCCUGGUAGUCCACGCCCUAAACGAUGCAAACUUGGUGUAGGCAGUUCAGUCUGUCUGUGCCGGAGCUAACGCGUUAAGUUUGCCGCCUGGGGAGUACGGUCGCAAGGCUGAAACUCAAAUGAAUUGACGG